AGUGGUGGAGAGAGGAGCUUCAUUGGUGAGAGCCAAGUGCUAAAAGCAGCUGCCUGUGACAUUUCCGUCAGCAGGCCUCCCUCCUUCAUUGUGUUAUGAGACACACAUCAGAUGUUCUGGUUUAUGAUUUCAGCUUCAGAGAACACAACCCUCUGAGAUCUAAGCUCAUGUAUCUCUCCCUGGCAUGCUGCCUGUUCAUUAACUGAACACUAAGGUCCAUUUGAGACUGACAACUAAAUGCUGAGACUAUUGGAACCCCUUUUUCCUACCUUCAAGGAGGUCUAGGAUCCUAUGGAGUAGUUAAGUGUUAGGCCCAGAUGCCUAGUUGCUGUACUUGCUAGAAAGUGACAAAGCACAGACUACCAAAAAGAUUCUGUCCAGAUGCCAGAACCAUGUCAGAUACAAAGUCACAUACAGCUGCUGUCUUCUCCAGUUUGGAUAAGCCAGAGGACCAUGUAUUCUCUCUCCUUUCGAAGACAGAGUAGGCACUAAACUCAUGGAGGUCUCAGUGAUGGGACCAGAUGCCAUGGAUGGAAUUCCAGUUGAGCUAUUUCAAAUCCUGAAGGAUGAUGCUGUGAAAGUGCUGCACUCAAUAUGCCAGCAAAUUUGGAAAACUCAACAGUGGCCACAGGACUGGAAAAGAUCCUGGUUCCUGGUGAUGUGGUUAUGGCAAGCAUCCCUGAGACAAAACAAUGACGGAGUGGUGGAAAAACAAAACAAAACAGCUGCAGUAGAAUGGCAUACUCUGAGCUUGGAAAGAGUGUACUUCUGGUUUGGGGACACUUAGUAGACCAGCUAUCCUGCAGGUCUGAGGUACAGAUGUUCAGGAGUUCCAACUGCCUGCUGCUGCUGUUGGAUGAGGGCUAUAAGAAGAGUCCAAGUACUCUCACUGAAGGAUCUCACAGCAUGGAAUGUACGUGCCAG
ensembl:lncRNA